rnacentral:rRNA from 1 species
UCUCCCCGAAAGCUAUUUAGGUAGCGCCUCGUGAAUUCAUCUCCGGGGGUAGAGCACUGUUUCGGCUAGGGGGCCAUCCCGGCUUACCAACCCGAUGCAAACUGCGAAUACCGGAGAAUGUUAUCACGGGAGACACACGGCGGGUGCUAACGUCCGUCGUGAAGAGGGAAACAACCCAGACCGCCAGCUAAGGUCCCAAAGUCAUGGUUAAGUGGGAAACGAUGUGGGAAGGCCCAGACAGCCAGGAUGUUGGCUUAGAAGCAGCCAUCAUUUAAAGAAAGCGUAAUAGCUCACUGGUCGAGUCGGCCUGCGCGGAAGAUGUAACGGGGCUAAACCAUGCACCGAAGCUGCGGCAGCGACACUGUGUGUUGUUGGGUAGGGGAGCGUUCUGUAAGCCUGUGAAGGUGUGUCGUGAGGCAUGCUGGAGGUAUCAGAAGUGCGAAUGCUGACAUAAGUAACGAUAAAGCGGGUGAAAAGCCCGCUCGCCGGAAGACCAAGGGUUCCUGUCCAACGUUAAUCGGGGCAGGGUGAGUCGACCCCUAAGGCGAGGCCGAAAGGCGUAGUCGAUGGGAAACGGGUUAAUAUUCCCGUACUUGGUGUUACUGCGAAGGGGGGACGGAGAAGGCUAUGUUGGCCGGGCGACGGUUGUCCCGGUUUAAGCGUGUAGGUGUGUGUUCCAGGUAAAUCCGGUUCACUUUAACACUGAGGCGUGACGACGAGGCACUACGGUGCUGAAGCAACAAAUGCCCUGCUUCCAGGAAAAGCCUCUAAGCAUCAGGUAACAUCAAAUCGUACCCCAAACCGACACAGGUGGUCAGGUAGAGAAUACCAAGGCGCUUGAGAGAACUCGGGUGAAGGAACUAGGCAAAAUGGUGCCGUAACUUCGGGAGAAGGCACGCUGACACGUAGGUGAAGUGAUUUACUCAUGGAGCUGAAGUCAGUCGAAGAUACCAGCUGGCUGCAACUGUUUAUUAAAAACACAGCACUGUGCAAACACGAAAGUGGACGUAUACGGUGUGACGCCUGCCCGGUGCCGGAAGGUUAAUUGAUGGGGUCAGCGCAAGCGAAGCUCCUGAUCGAAGCCCCGGUAAACGGCGGCCGUAACUAUAACGGUCCUAAGGUAGCGAAAUUCCUUGUCGGGUAAGUUCCGACCUGCACGAAUGGCGUAAUGAUGGCCAGGCUGUCUCCACCCGAGACUCAGUGAAAUUGAACUCGCUGUGAAGAUGCAGUGUACCCGCGGCAAGACGGAAAGACCCCGUGAACCUUUACUAUAGCUUGACACUGAACAUUGAGCCUUGAUGUGUAGGAUAGGUGGGAGGCUUUGAAGUGUGGACGCCAGUCUGCAUGGAGCCGACCUUGAAAUACCACCCUUUAAUGUUUGAUGUUCUAACGUGGACCCGUUACCCGGGUUGCGGACAGUGUCUGGUGGGUAGUUUGACUGGGGCGGUCUCCUCCUAAAGAGUAACGGAGGAGCACGAAGGUUGGCUAAUCCUGGUCGGACAUCAGGAGGUUAGUGCAAUGGCAUAAGCCAGCUUGACUGCGAGCGUGACGGCGCGAGCAGGUGCGAAAGCAGGUCAUAGUGAUCCGGUGGUUCUGAAUGGAAGGGCCAUCGCUCAACGGAUAAAAGGUACUCCGGGGAUAACAGGCUGAUACCGCCCAAGAGUUCAUAUCGACGGCGGUGUUUGGCACCUCGAUGUCGGCUCAUCACAUCCUGGGGCUGAAGUAGGUCCCAAGGGUAUGGCUGUUCGCCAUUUAAAGUGGUACGCGAGCUGGGUUUAGAACGUCGUGAGACAGUUCGGUCCCUAUCUGCCGUGGGCGCUGGAGAACUGAGGGGGGCUGCUCCUAGUACGAGAGGACCGGAGUGGACGCAUCACUGGUGUUCGGGUUGUCAUGCCAAUGGCACUGCCCGGUAGCUAAAUGCGGAAGAGAUAAGUGCUGAAAGCAUCUAAGCACGAAACUUGCCCCGAGAUGAGUUCUCCCUGAGACUUUAGGUCUCCUGAAGGAACGUUGAAGACGACGACGUUGAUAGGCCGGGUGUGUAAGCGCAGCGAUGCGUUGAGCUAACCGGUACUAAUGAACCGUGAGGCUUAACCUUACAACGCCGAAG